AGUGAACGCUGGCGGUAGGCCUAACACAUGCAAGUCGAACGGCAGCACAGGAGAGCUUGCUCUCUGGGUGGCGAGUGGCGGACGGGUGAGGAAUACAUCGGAAUCUACUCUGUCGUGGGGGAUAACGUAGGGGAAACUUACGCUAAUACCGCAUACGACCUACGGGUGAAAGCAGGGGAUCUUCGGACCUUGCGCGAUUGAAUGAGCCGAUGUCGGAUUAGCUAGUUGGCGGGGUAAAGGCCCACCAAGGCGACGAUCCGUAGCUGGUCUGAGAGGAUGAUCAGCCACACUGGAACUGAGGCACGGUCCAGACUCCUACGGGAGGCAGCAGUGGGGAAUAUUGGACAAUGGGCGCAAGCCUGAUCCAGCCAUACCGCGUGGGUGAAGAAGGCCUUCGGGUUGUAAAGCCCUUUUGUUGGGAAAGAAAUCCAGCUGGCUAAUACCCGGUUGGGAUGACGGUACCCAAAGAAUAAGCACCGGCUAACUUCGUGCCAGCAGCCGCCGUAA
rnacentral:rRNA from 1 species